GCCUGCCACUGAAUCUUCCUGCUGGAAUUAUGGGGGGUGGGAGGAGAUGGAAAAAAAAUCAAUGUUUCAAAGCAGUCCUGAUGUGCUAAAAAUAUCUCUCACUUCUCCUUUCAUCUGUCUGGUCAUUGUCCCAGACGCAAGCUCAGCACAGCCUCGCCCAUACAACAUGUCGAAUCGCUGUCUACCUCCACUUCUUAAUCGGACAAAGAGAGAAUAUUCUUUUUUUUUUUUUCCUUCCUCAGACAUUAGUCCAAGAUUACAGACUAGGAUAUAGCAACCUAUUAUUCAAGAACAGCUUUUAAAGGUAGCUGCUUCAGACUGGCACUUCGGGAAAACUUUGAAAGUAGACUCCUUUUUUUUUUUAAUGCUUAUUUUAACUAUAGAUUGGUGAUAACGAUUCAACCCCAGAGAUCCAGCUAACUGUUGGCACAGAAAUCCUUAACGCUACUCUCAAGCAAAUAAGAUCUUGUAAGGGGAAACUCCUGCAAAAUAUACCUUGUGAACAAGCUGCUCGCACCUCCUCUUGCAGCUGCAAAGAUAUUCUACUCUAUUGCUUAACUCGUGACCUUGAAAAAACUCCACCUUUCCUGCCAGCAGCUCCACUGCAUCCACCUGUCCCUACAGGUUCCAUGAUGACAGAGACCAUGCCUUUGUUUUCAUCACUAUCGUCUUCACCUCACUGCCAACCAGUGCCUGGCACACAGUAGGUGUUCAAGAAAGUUUUGCUGAAUAAAUGGAUGAACAAUGACAUCAGCCUACUUUGACCUCUUGAGUUCCUCUGAUCUCUGAAUGUUCUGGA
rnacentral:lncRNA from 10 species